rnacentral:rRNA from 1 species
AGAGUUUGAUCAUGGCUCAGAACGAACGCUGGCGGCGUGGAUAAGACAUGCAAGUCGAGCGCUGAUUACAGGGUAGCAAUAUUCUGUGGUCGGAGCGGCGCAAGGGUGCGUAACACGUGGGUAAUCUGCCAUGAAGUUUGGGAUAACUUGCUGAAAGGCGAGCUAAUACCGGAUGUGACAACUGGAAGGCAUCUUCUGGUUGUCAAAGCUGGGGACCGUAAGGCCUGGCGCUUCUUGAUGAGCCCGCGGCCUAUCAGCUAGUUGGUAAGGUAACGGCUUACCAAGGCUAAGACGGGUAGCUGGUCUGAGAGGACGACCAGCCACACUGGAACUGAGACACGGUCCAGACACCUACGGGUGGCAGCAGUCGAGAAUUUUUCACAAUGGGCGCAAGCCUGAUGGAGCGACGCCGCGUGGGGGAUGAAUGGCUUCGGCCCGUAAACCCCUGUCAUUUGCGAACAAAUUGGUUCAAUUAACACUUGAACCAUUGAUAGUAGCGAAAGAGGAAGGGACGGCUAACUCUGUGCCAGCAGCCGCGGUAAUACAGAGGUCCCAAGCGUUGUUCGGAUUCACUGGGCGUAAAGGGUGCGUAGGUGGUGAGGUAAGUCGGAUGUGAAAUCUCCGAGCUCAACUCGGAAAUGGCAUUGGAAACUACCUUGCUAGAGGAUCGGAGGGGGGACUGGAAUACUUGGUGUAGCAGUGAAAUGCGUAGAUAUCAAGUGGAACACCAGUGGCGAAGGCGAGUCCCUGGACGAUACCUGACACUGAGGCACGAAAGCUAGGGGAGCAAACAGGAUUAGAUACCCCCGUAGUCC